UGUGGGAGCGGGCUUGCUCGCGAAUGCGCCGUGUCAGUCACCUGAUUUGUUGACUGACACACUUCAUUCGCGAGCAAGCCCGCUCCCACA
rnacentral:misc_RNA from 1 species